UUGUCUAUCCUUUCAGGGAUCAUUUCUAUAGUUUGUUACUAGAGACAUUUCUAUGAAGGUGCAGAGCACCCGAAACCAGGAGGAGGAGGUGCAGUGUUCUCUCCUAAGCGUGAAGCCGGCUUUUGGUGUUUUUACAACUUUUACAACUGCCAUUGGCUAUUGAUGAUCAGUCUUUUCCUUUGAGAGAGUAAGAGGGAGAGGAUGCAAUCUGAGUGGU